rnacentral:rRNA from 1 species
UGAGGAAUAUUGGUCAAUGGGCGAGAGCCUGAACCAGCCAAGUAGCGUGCGGGUGACGGCCCUUUGGGUUGUAAACUGCUUUUAUGGGGGGGUAAAGUGCGUGACGUGUCAUGCAUUGCAGGUACCACAUGAAUAAGGACCGGCUAAUUCCGUGCCAGCAGCCGCGGUAAUACGGAAGGUCCGGGCGUUAUCCGGAUUUAUUGGGUUUAAAGGGAGCGUAGGCUGUCUAUUAAGCGUGUUGUGAAAUAUACCGGCUCAACCGGUGGCUUGCAGCGCGAACUGGUCGACUUGAGUAUGCAGGAAGUAGGCGGAAUUCAUGGUGUAGCGGUGAAAUGCUUAGAUAUCAUGACGAACUCCGAUUGCGCAGGCAGCUUACUGUAGCAUAACUGACGCUGAUGCUCGAAAGUGCGGGUAUCAAACAGG